ACCCGCUGAACUUAAGCAUAUCAAUAAGCGGAGGAAAAGAAACCAACAGGGAUUGCCUCAGUAACGGCGAGUGAAGCGGCAAGAGCUCAAAUUUAAAAGCCGACGUAGCUUUAAGAGACGUCCGCAUUGUAAUUUGAAGAGGCAUUCUCGGGUCGGGGCUCAGGCCUAAGUUCCUUGGAAGAGGGCGUCGUGGAGGGUGAGAACCCCGUUCGCGGCCUGCUGUCGACCUUUCCCCGAUCCACACGAGGUGCCAUCGAAGAGUCGAGUUGUUUGGGAAUGCAGCUCAAAGCGGGUGGUAAAUUCCAUCUAAAGCUAAAUAUUGACGGGAGACCGAUAGCGAACAAGUAGAGUGAUCGAAAGAUGAAAAGCACUUUGGAAAGAGAGUUAAACAGCACGUGAAAUUGUUGAAAGGGAAGCGCUUGAGACCAGUCACGGACCGAGGCGAUCAGUGGGACGUCCCUCUCGGGGGAGGAACCGCGCACUCGCUUUUCGGGUUUUCCGGGUCAACAUCGGUUGGGGCGGUGUCAGAAAGGUCGCGGGAACGUGGCUCCCUUCACGGGGAGUGUUAUAGCCCGUGGCGUCAAAGUCGCCAGUUUCGACCGAGGACCGCGCUCGUCUUUUUCGAGCAAGGAUGUUGACGUAAUGGUCCC
rnacentral:rRNA from 1 species